rnacentral:rRNA from 1 species
UACGUAGGUGGCAAGCGUUGUCCGGAUUUAUUGGGUUUAAAGGGUGCGUAGGCGGUUCUCUAAGUCAGUUGUGAAAUACGGCAGCUUAACUGUCGAGGUGCAAUUGAUACUGGAGAACUUGAGUACUGAUGAGGUAGGCGGAAUGGACGGUGUAGCGGUGAAAUGCUUAGAUAUCGUCCAGAACACCGAUAGCGAAGGCAGCUUACUAAGGAGUAACUGACGCUGAGGCACGAAAGGUGUGGGGGAUCAAAACAGG